CAGAAAUUGUGUCGUUGGAGGGAACUCUGAAGAUAUAAAGCAAAAAUUGAAAACAACGCUGAAUGAGAGAAUUCGAUAUUGUACCCUACAUCUUGAUGUUUUGAAAGCUUUUCCGAUUUUUCAAUACGAUCCAUCCCUGAUUUCAUUCGAUUUUGAACUGCGCUACAAUCGUUUAAUAGCCAACAGCCUAAUUACUUCUUGGCGAAGUUAUUUAAAAUUCACAGGUGACGUUUUGAAAGAUACUAUUGUUUAAUACCAGAUAAAUACACCCAUAGACGACUUCGAAUUAAACAGCAAGCAGCCCACAAUCGUAGCAUCUGGAAAAAGUAAGGAGGAAAUUGUUCAGUAUUUUAUUUUAAUUGACGGUAAAGCUUUACAUGUGCCUAUAACAUAUAC